rnacentral:misc_RNA from 1 species
AUUUUAAAUGCCAUUUUUAAUUUUUAUAAUCAUUAAUAUACAUUAUUACAAAAUAAAAAAAAAAUAUUUGAAUUUAUAGUAAGUUUUAAAUAUUAUUAAGAAAAUUACAAAAUUAAAUAAGAAAUGAUGUAAGUAGAGUUAUAUUUUUUAUAUUUGUAUAACUCAAAAUUAUAAUAUAAAAUAUAUUUUCUAAGUUGAGCCAGAGAGAGUAAAAAUGUCCCGCAUCAUUUACAAGGGCAUGAUCUCUUCUUUGCAGGUGCAACUACCUCAAAGCUUGACCCAAAGAAAGAUUCCACUUCCUGGCGGUUCACGAUCUCAAAGAAUUCAAACUCCGACAACUUCCUUUUGCGUAAAACCGUCCUUCUCCUCGGUUUCCGUGGCGCCGGCGGACAACUUAAGAUGGCAGGAAUCUUGUGUUCCUCAGAUGUCGGAGUUCGACAUUCGUCACCGUUUUCUUGUUGAAUUACAUCGUUACGAAGGUCCUCCGACGUGCUGCAAGAUCCUAGGGUUUGAAUCUUGAUGGGAGGGACUUGAAUUCUUGGCAAAUCUUGACGUGAUUCAUGAUCUGUAGACAUGGUGGAGGAGAAACCAGAGGAGAGAAAAGGGUAUGUAGAAGAUGAAGAAGAGAGAAAAUGUGCGGUGAGUCAAGCUUUGCAGCUAUUUAUGUAGGAAAAAAAAAAAAAA